UCCGAAUUGGUGUAGUGGCUAACAUUUGGUGCUCUCAUCAGGAAGCAAACUCUUCCUAGGUGAUCCGCCAAGCCCGGGGUUCGAUUCCCCGAUUCGGAG